rnacentral:rRNA from 1 species
GAUGAACGCUGGCGGCGUGCCUAAUACAUGCAAGUCGAGCGAACGGACGAGAAGCUUGCUUUUCUGAUGUUAGCGGCGGACGGGUGAGUAACACGUGGAUAACCUACCUAUAAGACUGGGAUAACUUCGGGAAACCGGAGCUAAUACCGGAUAAUAUUUUGAACCGCAUGGUUCAAAAGUGAAAGACGGUCUUGCUGUCACUUAUAGAUGGAUCCGCGCUGCAUUAGCUAGUUGGUAAGGUAACGGCUUACCAAGGCAACGAUGCAUAGCCGACCUGAGAGGGUGAUCGGCCACACUGGAACUGAGACACGGUCCAGACUCCUACGGGAGGCAGCAGUAGGGAAUCUUCCGCAAUGGGCGAAAGCCUGACGGAGCAACGCCGCGUGAGUGAUGAAGGUCUUCGGAUCGUAAACUCUGUUAUUAGGGAAGAACAUAUGUGUAAGUAACUGUGCACAUCUUGACGGUACCUAAUCAGAAAGCCACGGCUAACUACGUG